UACGUAGGGUGCAAGCGUUGUCCGGAAUUAUUGGGCGUAAAGAGCUCGUAGGCGGUUUGUUGCGUCGGCUGUGAAAUCCCGAGGCUCAACCUCGGGUCUGCAGUCGAUACGAGCAAACUAGAGUGUUGCAGGGGAGACUGGAAUUCCUGGUGUAGCGGUGAAAUGCGCAGAUAUCAGGAGGAACACCGGUGGCGAAAGCGGCUCUCUGGAACGGUACUGGACGCUGAGACGCGAAAGCCGUGGGGAGC
rnacentral:rRNA from 1 species